AAAUUGAAGAGUUUGAUCAUGGCUCAGAUUGAACGCUGGCGGCAGGCCUAACACAUGCAAGUCGAACGGUAACAGGAAGCAGCUUGCUGCUUUGCUGACGAGUGGCGGACGGGUGAGUAAUGUCUGGGAAACUGCCUGAUGGAGGGGGAUAACUAC
rnacentral:rRNA from 2 species